CAGUAGCCGCGGGAAUACGAAGGGGGCUAGCGUUACUCGGAAUUACUGGGCGUAAAGGGCGCGUAGGCGGCACGAUUAGUCAGGCGUGAAAUUCCUGGGCUCAACCUGGGGACUGCGCUUGAUACGGUCGAGCUAGAGGAUGGAAGAGGGUCGUGGAAUUCCCAGUGUAGAGGUGAAAUUCGUAGAUAUUGGGAAGAACACCGGUGGCGAAGGCGGCGACCUGGUCCAUUACUGACGCUGAGGCGCGACAGCGUGGGGAGCAAACAGGAUUAGAUACCCCCGUAGUCCCUGUCUCUUAUAA
rnacentral:rRNA from 1 species